rnacentral:tRNA from 1 species
GCCCAAUUAGCUCAGUCGGUAGAGCACUCGGCUGUUAACCGAUAGGUCGUAGGUUCGAGUCCUACAUUGGGCGCCA